rnacentral:rRNA from 1 species
UACAGAGGUCUCAAGCGUUGUUCGGAUUCAUUGGGCGUAAAGGGUGCGUAGGUGGCGGGGCAAGUCUGGUGUGAAAUUCCCGGGGCUCAACCCCGGAACUGACACUGGAUACUGCCUUGCUAGAGCACUGGAGAGGGAACUGGAAUUUACGGUGUAGCAGUGAAAUGCGUAGAUAUCGUAAGGAAGACCAGUGGCGAAGGCGAGUUCCUGGACAGUUGCUGACACUGAGGCACGAAGGCUAGGGGAGCAAAGCGGG